UACGUAGGGGGCGAGCGUUACCCGGAUUUACUGGGCGUAAAGCGCGUGUAGGCGGCUGGCCAAGCGUGGUGUGAAAUCUUCGGGCUUAACCCGAAAACUGCAUUGCGAACUGGUCUGGCUAGAGUGUGUGAGAGGGAAGUGGAAUUCCGGGUGUAGUGGUGAAAUGCGUAGAUAUCCGGAGGAACACCAGUGGCGAAGGCGACUUUCUGGCCUGUUCUUGACGCUGAGGCGCGAAAGCUAGGGGAGCAAACGGG
rnacentral:rRNA from 1 species